GAUAGCAUUAUCACAUGAAGUUGUGGUGUCAUCAAAACAGUUCUGGUAGUUGAUUGAUAUAAGCAAAAGGUUCAAUUAUUCAGCCACAUAAGCACAAAAGGUAAUCUUUUCGCAUUUCACUUUGAAUGGAUUAAUGAAUCAAGGAACAAAAUGAUGCUUGCAUUGUGACCAAUGAUGGAAAAGAAUGCCUGUAUGGACUAUUUUAGGACCAUUUAAAAUCACUUAUUCAGAAUUUUAUAUUGGACAGAGUUUAGAAGGUCUUUAAUGUUUUCAAAAUCUGAGAUUUCGGAUAUCUGAUUUCUAUCUGAAAUUUAAGAGCUAUUUGUGUUCUUAUUUUGCCAUUCUGUUUAGUAUUUUGAGAUGCUGUAAACUAAGAAGGUUAGAGUUGAUUUACAUCCUAUGAUCUUUAUGAAGAUGCCGCCGAAUGUCUUAUAUUUAUGUUACAUGUUGCUAUAAUAACUGAAUAUUCUCUAGAAAUUGGCGUGAAACCUUUUCCCUUUUCCUAGGUAUUAUUUCACCUUCCUUCCUUUCUUUUUUUAUUCUUUUUUUUAUUACUAAGCUUUAACUCGCGGUUUUUGAGGUGCAUUUUGUUACUAUUGUUGUAUUCUUCUUUGAGAGGCUAUGAAGUUGGCUUAUUGUGAAUGAUCAGUGUGUUUUUUAAAGCCAAAGUUUUAUUGUAAAAUGUUCAGUUUUUAAUGUUUUAUUAAGAGUUUAAUUAUGCUCUUUAUUUCGCUCCAAACUUUAUAUUAAUAUUUUCUUAAAUUAUAGUACAAUUUUAUCAUUUAAAUUUUUUUAAUUAAUCAACCAUUUUACCAUGAAUAAUUAAGAAGUAAACGAGAUAAUUGACAAAUUUUGCCUUAGAUUUGUUUCCUUAUUGCAUAUUAGUAUAGCAAAAGGGUGAUGAUUGUUCCGCAAGUGCGUAUAAAUGUGAAACUCAGCAAGUCUAGAUAAGCAUUGAUACCAGUGUUUUUAAGGUAUCCUGUAUAACGCUAUUGAAUCUGAAGUUCCAAGCCAAUCAUCAACUUGUAACUUGGGAACGCUUAAAUGUUGGCUCAAGUCCUUUAAUCCGUGCACUAAACUAAAUAAAAAAAAGUACAAAUAAUGUUAAAGUGGUGGAAUAAACAAAUAAACAUUAGAAAAGAAUGCAUAAAUAAUUGAUAAAAGAAUACAUGAAGUAAGUUGUGGUGAACCUCUUGAAUCAAUGAAGUGAGUGCAUAAUCAAUGCUUUUGGUAGAAGAAGGUUUUGAUUUGCAGUUUCUCAAAGGUCUGAAAGAAGAAAUUCUUGAAGAAAUACCAUUUAUCGCAGAAUUGCUGGAAGACAUGAAUAACAUGAAUCACAAACAACCUGGUGAAGCAGAAGAAUGUGAGGCAAUAAAUCCAAACAUGAAUGGUGAUGCACAAACAGAAGGUGGAUGUCAAGUGUCUAGUUGAAAAGCUUCUUGAAUAUGUCAUGAAUAACCACCUCGUUGUUCGAGAUCCUGAGACUAUUCUGCAGGCAUUGAAAAUAUCGCUGGUUAGAAUUACUCUCAUCUGCAAUUUCACUCUCGUCACCUCUGCUAUUAAAUAGUAGAUGACCAUGGAGAUGGGUUUCUUGGGUUGGGGAAGAUGGAGGAGGCGAGCUCUGCCGCAUACUUGGUCUGGGAGGAUCUCAUGGCUGUGCUGCCCAACUAUGGCACUCCAAGGCCAGCAAAGAAGCUGCUCCAGGGCCUCAGUGGUUAUGCGGCUCCCGGAAGGAUCAUGGCCAUCAUUGGACCCUCUAGAUCUGGGAAGUCUACACUUCUUGAUUCAUUGGCAGGUUUGGGGAUUUUGCCUUUUUUUUUUUUGCUGAUUAUUUUGGGAGUUUGGUUUGAUUGGUGGUACUGGAACAUGGAGGUUGGGGAGAAAUGUGGUUCUCACUGGGAAGGUGUUGCUGAAUGGGAAGAAGAGUAGGCUUGAUUACGGUGUUAUGAAUCCUUCACAUUGAUGCAGGCUUACGUGACACAAGAAAAUGUUCUGCUUGGGACUCUGACAGUCAGAGAGACCAUCACUUACUCAGCUCACUUGAGGCUUCCUACCACAAUGAGAAAGAAGGAGGUGCAAGCUGUAGUGGAACGCAUCCAAAAGUUUAUCGUGCCACCAGAUGUUCCUCCUCUCAAAUGUAGAACUUAUGGUUGCUAUUUAUGUGACAUUUGGGCAAACAAUGAUGCUGUGAGAAAUGUUGUGCACAUCCAGAAGGGAACUGUGCCGGAAUAGAUCAGAUGCAAUGAUUAUUUGCAGUAUGCUAAUGAUAUUCCGAGUAGUGUAAAAUACCAGUACAUGCUCACAAGCCAAGGUUAUCCUGCUCUUGUUUACAAGUGAAGCUAGAUCUUCUGGCAAAACAUUGCUUCUCUUUGUUGAAUCAUCGUAUUACAGUUACUAACACCAGCUGAUGAGGAGGUGGCUAUAUGCAUUCAAUUAUGUAGGGUGCUGGUCAAACAGCUCCAGACUACAAGCCAAGGGAGAGCCUGGCUAUGAUUAAGAGAUGGCUUUCACACCAACCACUAUGGUUUUUUUUUAAUAAUAGAUGGCAAGUGUCCUCCACUUAAAAUUUUUGUUCUGCAAAAGUUAUCAGCUUGGAUCUUGCUUGUUCCCCAGCAACAAGGCUGCAAUACUGAAUUUUAAUGUUGCAUGUGGAAUUGAAUUUUAAUGUUUGUAUAGUUAUACUACAUGAUUUCCAAUGUAUAUAUAGGGCAUCUAUAUGUAUUGUUAAUUCAA